GCCGCCUUAGCUCAGUCGGCAGAGCGUCUCACUCGUAAUGAGAAGGUCAAGGGUUCGAUUCCCUUAGGCGGCU
rfam:Cellulomonas sp. B6 contig_193, whole genome shotgun sequence.